UCAGCAGCCUGGCAGAGCAAGGGCUUUAUCCUCCGUUGCCCUGGCAACCAGCCUUCGCUUCUGGAUCCCCCGCACUGUGCACGUGGUACAGAGAUGACAGGCAGGGCAGGAUAAAUUUGGGACGGAUGGGAGUCACCCAGCAGGCUGCUGGACCCCAAGAGGAAGCGGCCCCGACCGAGAUAAGUAGGAUGAUUUGUAGGCUUGUCCUCUGAGGGUACGGAGAGACUGGGGUCCCUGGCAUGGGGGUGGAACACCAAAGCAAUAGCAAAUAAAGCCAAUGAGGGUCAUAUGCUAAAGAGGGAAGAACCAAAACUGAGAGUCUGGACACACUGGUCCGAUGUAGUGUUUAUCAUAUGCCAGGCACUGCUUUAGUGCUUUGUUUAUAUUAACUCAUUUGUUGGUCCUCCAAGGUCACAUGGGAAGAAAGUCUCAAUGCCAGGGUCAGAGCCCUAGCCUGGGCUGCAGGCUCCCUCGCAGGGGCUGGGUUCUUCCUCACCAGCCCCAGAGUCCCCCAGGCUGGGGCGCAGCCUGAGGUGGUCGUGGCUUUCAGGCACCGAGCCCUCCCUGGCUAUCCAGGCCUUGCCCCCACAUCACUUCAUUUGCUCCUUCAGCUGGGUGGGUGUCGAAGCCCAUUUGGGGGAUGAUGCAGCUUCAGUUCAGAGAGGUGCAGCAGCUUACCGUCUCCUUCUCCAAGAUCAUUCAGCUUCUCAGUGACAAAGCCAGAGGGGCCGGGGGUGGGAGAGGGUCGUGUGCAAGCCUGGGUCCUCCCUCCUGUGCUAUAGACAGAGUGUGUGCAGAGUUUCACAUGCCUGGUGAGCAUUCCGUGAACAGCAGUGGUUACUGUCUCAGGAGGAGAGAGCAGCCCCGGAGGCCCACAGGACAAGGAAGAGGCUCAGAGGAACCAUCUCCCUGGGGAGUCCAUUUCCAGAAGCUGAGGACAGGCAUGUGGGAAUGGCCAUAGAAGGACAUUUGGGGCAUUUCCAACAUUGGACUCUGAUGAGCAAAGUUGCCAAAGUGCUAUUCAACAUUUUGGAGUGUGAGGGCAGAGAGGAGGUGGCGGAGGAUGACACAGGGGCACAGAGAAGCUUUGGAGGUAAUGGAUAUGCUCAUUAUAAAAUGAUUGGGAUGGUGCCUUCCUGGGUGUAUCUUUAUGUCAAAGCUUAUCAAAUCGUGCACAUUAAAUAUGUGUAGCUUAUUACAUGUCAAUGACACCUUAAUAAAUCUGUUUUUUAAAGUGA